UACGUAGGUGGCAAGCGUUGUCCGGAAUUAUUGGGCGUAAAGCGCGCGCAGGUGGUUCUUUAAGUCUGAUGUGAAAGCCCACGGCUCAACCGUGGACGGUCAUUGGAAACUGGGGAACUUGAGUGCAGAAGAGGAAAGUGGAAUUCCAAGUGUAGCGGUGAAAUGCGUAGAUAUUUGGAGGAACACCAGUGGCGAAGGCGACUUUCUGGUCUGUAACUGACACUGAGGCGCGAAAGCGUGGGGAGCAAACAGG
rnacentral:rRNA from 1 species